AAGUCCCGUAACGAGCGCAACCCUUGUCCUUAGUUACCAGCACGUUAUGGUGGGCACUCUAAGGAGACUGCCGGUGACAAACCGGAGGAAGUGGGGAUGACGUCAAGUCAUCAUGGCCUUACGGCCUGGGCUACACACGUGCUACAAUGGUCGGUACAAAGGGUUGCCAAGCCGCGAGGUGGAGCUAAUCCCAUAAAAACCGAUCGUAGUCCGGAUCGCAGUCUGCAACUCGACUGCGUGAAGUCGGAAUCGCUAGUAAUCGUGAAUCAGAAUGUCACGGUGAAUACGUUCCCGGGCCUU
rnacentral:rRNA from 1 species